GGAGGCAGCAGUGAGGAAUAUUGGUCAAUGGGCGAGAGCCUGAACCAGCCAAGUAGCGUGAAGGAUGACUGCCUAUGGGUUGUAAACUUCUUUUAUAAAGGAAUAAGUCGGGUAUGGAUACCCGUUUGCAUGUACUUUAUGAAUAAGGAUCGGCUAACUCCGUGCCAGCAGCCGCGGUAAUACGGAGGAUCCGAGCGUUAUCCGGAUUUAUUGGGUUUAAAGGGAGCGUAGAUGGAUGUUUAAGUCAGUUGUGAAAGUUUGCGGCUCAACCGUAAAAUUGCAGUUGAUACUGGAUAUCUUGAGUGCAGUUGAGGCAGGCGGAAUUCGUGGUGUAGCGGUGAAAUGCUUAGAUAUCACGAAGAACUCCGAUUGCGAAGGCAGCCUGCUAAGCUGCAACUGACAUUGAGGCUCGAAAGUGUGGGUA
rnacentral:rRNA from 1 species